UACCAAACACAUUUAUUUUCUUUUAGAUUGUUUACAAAAUCUUUCUAAGUAAUUUUGAAACUUAAAAUGUAUAUUUCUUAUUAUAAAAGCAACAUGUGUUCACUGCACAAAAGCUAGACAACAGGAGAAAAAACAUAUUUUGUAUUCUGUUUAACAUUUUUGUUUAAAUCCUAAUCUGUCCAAAAACAUUCUCAUCUCUCUUUCUAUGAACAUUAACUCUUAUGAAUAAACACAAUAUUUUUUAUUAUUGGGAUCAUCAUUUUGCAUAUGCUAUUCAAAACUUGCUGACAUAAGAAACAAGAAACAAAUAAGAACAUACAAAUAAACAAAACCCCACCAGUAACCCUGCCAUUAGGUAUAAUCACUAUUAACUUGUUGGAUGUCUAUUUUUCCAGAAUUUUCUCAAUUUGCAAAUCAUUGUCAGAAGCAAUAGGUCUUAAAUUGUUUUAUUUGUAAUCCAAAAAUACAUUGGCUCUGUGCAUUCUGAAGGUAUACAUUGUUCUAUCUUCUACUCUACAUGCUGCUAAGAACUAUUGGAAAGUCACUUUUAAUAAGUUCAUAGUUGGCAGUGGGCAGGGCCUUGCUGAGGAACCCCAGCUGGGCACCUGCUGCGGGUUCAUCUACACGUUCCCUCAACUGCCUCCUUUCAACCUUGUCCACCCAUUGCGGUCUCUGGUGCCAUGGUGGUGGUUCCUGUUCCUGCUGCAGCUCUCUCCCCUUCUUCCCUCUCCACCAGAUCACAGAGGUCACUCAUCAUGGUUUUACCCAGUGCGGCUGCCAGGCUCUUGGGAAGCAACAGUGCAUCUUGUCUUGUUCUUGCUGCCUGGCAUGCCAGUGCUUCCUCCAAGAAUUUGAAAGACUUAUUGGCUGACCUGAUACUUAAGGAGCAGGCCAGAAUGAAGACCUUCAGGCAGCGACAUGGCAAGAAGGUGGUGGGCCAAAUCGCUGCAGACACAAUGUAUGGCGGCAUGAAAUGCAUUAAGGGACUGGUGUAUAAAACAUCCGUUCUUGAUCCUCAUGAGGGUUUCUGUUUCCAAGGCUUUAGUAUCCCUGAAUACCAAAAACUGCUACCCAAGGCUAAGGGUGGGGAAGGACCCCUACCCAGGGGACUUAUUUUGGCUGCUGGUAACUAGACAGACCCCAAGAGAGGAACAGGUAUCUUGGCUCUAGAGAUAGUGGGCAAAGAGGGCAGCUCUACCUUCCCAUGUGGUCACCAUGCUGGACAACGUUCCCACCAAUCUAUACCCAUGUUUGAGCUCAGUGAAGCCAUGGCAGCCCUAAACAACUUUCCCUGAGCACAUCCAGAGGGUGCCAGCCAAACCAAGGACUGGGAGUUGAUUUAUGAAGACCAUGUAUAUCUAAUCACAAAGCUACCUUGUGUUGCAGAAAAGGUCUACCGAAAUCUCUACUGAGAGGGCAGCGGUAUUGGGGGUCACUACUCUAAGCUGGACUGGUCCCACAGUUUCACCAACAUGUUAGGCUAUACUGAUGCUCAGUUCACUGAGCUCAUGCACCUGUAGCUUACCAUCCACAGGGACCAUGAGCACAGCAAUGUAAGUGCUUAUAGCAGCCACUUGGCGGGCAGUGCCCUUUCAGACCCUUCCCUGUCCUUUGCAGCAGCCAUGAACGGGCUGGCAGGUCCUCUAUAUGGACCGGCAAAUCAGGAAGUGCUUUUCUGGCUAACACAACUACAGAAGGAAGUUGGCAAGGAUGUGUCAGAUGAGAAAUUACGAGACUACUUUCAACUCGAGAUGGGUUGUUCCAGGCUAUGGCCUUGCAGUGUUAAGGAAGACUGAGCCACAAUGUACCUGUCAGCAAGAGUUUGCUCUGAAACACCGCAUAAUGAUCCCAUGUUUAAGUUGGUUGCUCAGCUGUACAAGAUUGUGCCCAAUAUCCUCUGAGAUUAGGGUAAGGCCAAGAAUCCUGGGCCCAAAGUAGACGCUCAUGGUGGGGUGCUCUCCAGUACUAUAGCAUGACGGAGAUACAUUGCUAUGCGGUCCUGUUUGGGGCAUCACAGGCAUUGGGUGUACUGGCACAGCUCAUAUGGAGCUUUCCUCUAGAAAGACCCAAAUCCAUGAGCACAGGUGGUCUGAUGAAGUCUGUGGACUCUAUGUCAGGAUAA